CGACCAAUCAAAUAAGAGAAAGAAUAUCACUGCAGGUGUCAAACGACCAAUCAAAUAAGAGAAAGAAUAUCACUGCACGUGUCAAACGACCAAUCAAAUUAAAUAACUGCUCCAUUUUCACUCAGACUCCUCAGAGUUUCCAAAUGUCAUUUUGAACCUAAAAUAGACAACAAAUGAAAUGAAAGUAAAUAUUAUCUGUUUAAAGUAAAAUCUGUGAUUAUUCUUGCUGUAAUCUACGAAACGGUACGAAUAAGAUUACUUACUACGCCCCCUCCAUUUCCGUAUUGACAACACCAAGAGCGCCAACAAACGAGUUUAACGGACUGUCAUUUUUCGUUCACUUGCCUGAAACCACCGUUCACGACGAUAUCGCGUUCAGGUCGGCCGUGGCUUGCACGAGGACAGAAGAAACCGGAACGGUUUACUUCAGGAUUCCCCUCACGAAGACGUUUAAUCGGCAUCAAAUGGUUGGAUAUUGGCAUCGCCUGCAGCUCUCAAAGCCAUGCUGUCUGAUGGGGGAGGCUGACGAGCGUACGGCAUUACAUAAGACCUCAAAUAAAGCAACCUCUCUGCUGCAAGCGAC
rnacentral:lncRNA from 1 species